UCAUUUCCUAUACCAAAAACGUUAAACCAUCCCUAAUACACAGUCAUUUUAAACUUUUCCUUAGCCAUCCAAAUUAAUUAAAGUCACGUAGCCUUAGAUUACUUUUAAACACGGAGGCUUCAUGUCUUCUUCUCCAAUUUUCUUUUUGUUCGAUGAAAUUUUUUUUUCUCCAUUCUUACAAAUUUUUUUCUCCAUUUUUUCCACUCACUUUGUUUGAUGGAUUCAACAGAAGGCUAGAUCGGAGUUUUGCGGAGUUUAGUUGUUUCUUGCUCCAUCGUUGUUGUUUGUGGUCUCAGAUUUGUGGGUUAUAUGAUGAGUCAAGACGUCCGUAAAUUUUCGUUAGGUGGCUCGGGAGGUUGCGGCUGUGUUGGUUAGGAGACGGCCACAAGUUCGGUUAACUAGGGUUUCUUAACAUGCUUCCGGUUCAGUUAAAUAGGGUUUCUUAGAGCAUCUUUAUCAAUAUAUUUUAAUACAUCUUAGAGUAUUAUAAUAAAAAGAAAUAAUUGAAUAAGUGAUGAAAGAUGUAUAUUUUGGAUUCUACACAAGAAGCAUUUUGGUUA